GCUAGUGUAGCAAAGACUGGCAAAUGCAAAAGGCUUAAGCCCUUUAACCAGAGGUUCAAAUCCUCUCCCUAGCU
rnacentral:tRNA from 1 species